UGUUGCGGUGAAUACGUUCCCGGGUCUUGUACACACCGCCCGUCAAACCAUGAAAGUGGCCAACACCCGAAGUCCGAUUCGUCGGCCUAAGGUGGGGGGCAUGAUUGGGGUU
rnacentral:rRNA from 1 species